rnacentral:rRNA from 1 species
UACGAAGGGGGCUAGCGUUGCUCGGAAUCACUGGGCGUAAAGCGCACGUAGGCGGAUUGCUAAGUCGGGGGUGAAAUCCUGGAGCUCAACUCCAGAACUGCCUUUGAUACUGGCGAGCUUGAGUCCGGGAGAGGUGAGUGGAACUGCGAGUGUAGAGGUGAAAUUCGUAGAUAUUCGCAAGAACACCAGUGGCGAAGGCGGCUAACUGGCCCGGUACUGACGCUGAGGUGCGAAAGCGUGGGGAGCAAACAGG